UCCUUCUUAGCUCAGUUGGUAGAGCGCGUCACUAGUACUGCGUACAAGAAUGACGAGGUCAGUCGUUCAAGUCGGCUAGAAGGAA